UUACAUGUAUUUGUAUAUAUAGAUAUAUAGAUACAUACCAUAUCUUCUUUAUCCAUUCAUUGUUGAUGGACACAUAGUUUGCUUCCAUGUCAUGGCUCCUGUGAGUAGUGCAGCUGUGAACCUUUGGGUGCCUGGAGUUGCUGGAUCAUAUAGUAGUUCUAUUUUCAGUUUUUUUGAGAAAUCUGCAUACUAUUUUCCCCAGUUUGGUGCACCAAUUUACAUUGCCAUCAACAGUUACAAGGGUUCUCUUUUCCCCCAUUCUGGCCAAAAUUUGUUAUUUGUGUUCUUUUUAAUGAUAGCCAUUCUGACAAGUGUAAGGUGAUAUUUCAUUGUGGUUUUGGUUUGAAUUUCUCUGAGAAUUAGCAACAUUGAGCAUAUUUUUAGAUGCCUAUUGUCCAUCUGCAUUUCCUCUUUGGAAAAAUGUCUAUUCAGGUCUUCUAUCCAUUUUUUAAUCGGGUGACAAACAGGCGGUUUUGAUUAGCCUAAAUCUCAAGUUAAAUAAUGCUUUUGAACUUGAACUAGAACUUUACCUGGGUCUCCAAUCUGCUGUCCAACCCUAAAGAUUUUGUACCUACCAAGCUACCACAGUUGCAUGAGCCAAGUCUUUGAAACAAAUCUUUCUUUUUAUGUCUGUGUAUGUAGGUAUGUACAUACGUACGUGUGUAUGUACAUAUGUGUAUAUGUAUGUAUGUAUGUAUCUAUCUAUCUAUGCUAUAUACACUUCCUGUUGGUUUCAUUUUUCUGGAGAAACCUAACACACUCCACUUAGCUAGAUUAUCUACAGUAGCCUCACUUCCAUGUCCAGUGUUUGGUACAGGCUAUUGGCUGGUUGGAUGUUUUUUUCCUAUCAUUGCUGUUUUUCCUAUUUUUUUCUCAUGGAACAGGGAGUGAAAUUUUGAUGGUGAGAAAACUAGUUUCAGCUAUAUUUUGAAGCCCAGUUAUAUUUCAUUUCAAUGGUUUUGAAAAUUAUACAACCUUAGAUAUUAAUUAAAUUAUAGUGUAUUUUUAGAAGUGUUAAUAGCCAAAAUAAGUGAUAAUUUAUAUUAUUCCUGGCUCAAAUUAUCCUAAAAAUAUGUCACUGGAUCCUAUAUUUUGCUAACAAAAUCUGCUUAAACAUUUAAUAUAUUAUUAUUUUAACUUUAAAUAGCAGUGGCCCUAACCUGAAAAGGCCUUCUUUGAUAGAUAUCAAGGAACCUAGUGAUUGGAGUAUAGCUAUGACCUUUCUUAUUAAAUAUGUUGUGUGAGUGCAUAUUGGUUUUGUAUAUCUAUGUAUGCAUGCACUCACACAUAAUUUGUUUUAUAUUUUAUUUUUGUUUAUAUUACAUAUUUGUGUAUUUAUGUAAUAUAUAUACAUUUAUAAGCAUAUAUACAUUUAUAGUAACAGCAUAUAAUAUUCUCAAGUAUAUCUAGGUGAACUUUAUUUUUACGCCAUCAACAAAAUCAUAAAAAUUCUAAUAAUUUGGACUCAUUAAACCUAGUCGGUGUUAUCAGCUACCGUCCACGUGGGGGCAAGAUAUCCUAAAGCAAGAUAAAAUCCUUGGCAAAGAAGCCAAGCAGGAGAUCCGUCCUUAGCCUAGGCUUAACAUCCACAUCUGUCAAAUUAUACACAUUUAUGUAUUACAGUGUUGAAAGGGCUUUCACAAACCGCUUCUGUGGAAUCCUCAUAGAUGUUCUGUGACCUUUACUUUGUAACUGGGGAAACCAAGGUCAGAGUGUUCCUAAAUCAAGUUCGUUCGCCCUAAUGACGUGAGCCAAAUGCUGAGACAAGAAGGUUGGCAGCAGAGGGUUUAUUCCUGAGGGAGCUACUCCAGAAGAUGAGAGAACAAAUCUCAAAUCAGCCUCUCCGAAGGCGAUGAGCUCUGGAAUUUUAAAGAAUAAAGAAGCAAGGUGAUUGGAGGUGCAGGGGAAGGUUAUUGGUGGCAGGAAAAGGUGUGGUAAUAGCUGCUUUGCUGCACACUUAUCUGAGUUACAUGCUUCAUGGGCCAGGUGCUUGAAAAUGAUGAGCUUAUUUAUCAUGACAUGAGUUUCUGGUCCUUUGACAUCAAAAGGAUAUCCAUCAGACACUCAGGCCAGGCUCAAUUGAAUGGUCAAUGGUCUCAACCAGUUUGAACUAGGCAAGAUUAACUCCCUGUUCCACAAAAACAAUUUAAGCAUAGGUUGUUAGAGUGACCCAUACAUCAGAGGUGUUAUCUAUAGAAGCAAAUUAAAGGAAUCUUAUGAUAUAUUGUCUAAGCUAUGUGAAGCUUGUAGGGUAUGCAAUUUUCAAGAACAAUUCAAGUAAGCUUGAUCAGUAAAGGCCGGUUACAGCAUACUACUUGGUAAGUAAGUUAUAGUUUAAGGGAUCUGAUGACUACCCUCAAUUUCAAGAGAUGCUGAAAAUUUCCUGACAAUUGGAAGCUGGAACAACAUCUUAUUUUCAGCGCUUACGUAUUUCUUAUUACAUUACAUUUUGGCUGCAAAAUAAUAGUGACAAAAUCACGGCUGAAACUUCUGUAUAUUUUUCAUUACUCCGUUGUCAUUAAUUAAAACUGCCACCUCUGCAGAAAGUAGUUUUCAGGAGAAAAUGAAAUUUAGAAAUUAUUUUUAAAAUUUAAAAUCCUUAGAAAUCCUUGAUGAAGACAUUCCAAGGUGUCGUUAUUAUUAUUUUUUUUCCUCUAGAUUUUUCUGAAGCACAAUGAAGUCUGAAAACCACUAGACUGGGUAAUUGGACACACUGCAAAUGAUUAGGAAAAUAAAUAGCAUUUUAUAUAAUUUAAUGAGUAAAGAACUGAUGUCUUGUUUCUAAAAUUUGGAAAAUCAACUUUAUAAUAAGAAACUAGCAACCAUAAAUUUUCCACUUUUAAUUUUGAGAAUAAGUAUUGAUUGGAAUACUGUAUAGCACACACACAAUUCAUAUUGCUCUAAUUUAUGAACUGCUAUGAGCAACUAUUGAAAAUGAAUUAUCUGACCUCUAUUUUUUUCAAUCAUUUAAAAGAAUUGUGUCUCCAUAUCUAUGCAGGAACAAGAGAAGAAGUUAAAAGAAGAAAAUACUGAGAGACAGAAAAGGAAUAUGCACCAUCUAGACCAGUAUUUGACCACCGGGCACCACAGCCUGGCCAAGUUGAGACAUAAAAUUAGCCAUCACGCCAUGACCUGUGAACUCAAAAUUGGCUGUGAACAAACUUCCAGAAGUCUGCCAGUUUUGACUCAAGGCUCGCUGUAUUCGAAAGAGGUAAGUAUAUGGAGGAAUCCAUCUAUGCAUGCUCUGGUUAAAUGAACCAGUAGCCCAAUUUGAGGCCAGGUCAUGGGAGAUGGGUAUCAGUUGAGUGUGUGUUCAGCACCAGAUGGGCCCACAAUUAGCCUUUCUACAGCUUCCUCUAUGGCCCUGAGCACAGUAUAAAAUUGGAGUUCAUAAUUAAAAUGCUAUCUAGAUUCUGCUAAACUUUGAUUUCUGUAACACAGAGAACUCAACGCUUUGUAGUUUAGAAAUAGCCAGUACUGUUCUGGCAACCAAUCAGUAAAAGGCCUUAAGGACUCUUACCCUGAUAGGGAACUCUUUCUCUUAGCAGCAGUCAAAGUUGUGGAAAAGCAGGGCUUGCAUUGGGGCCUUAAGGCCAUACUUUGCUGAGAUACUAUCUCCUGUGCUAUCCUGUAUCUGUGCCAGUAAUUACAUCUUUGACUCUAUUAAGGCAAAGCAGAAAGUUCUGCUGGCAUCUGCAAACCCUAUCUUGCUGAUCUCCAUGCUCCCCUGAGGCCACUUGUUUGGCUUCCUUUUGCCUCAGUUCCUCCCCUGGUUCUUCCUAAGACCAAUCUGAUUGAUUAUGUACACCUUUGUCCAAGACCCUGUUUUAAGAAAAGCACCCACCUAAGAUUAAAUCAUACCUCCCAAACCAGUAUACCAUAUGAUUGACAUAAAGCCUCUUAUCAAGGCUGCAGGGGUCAAGAAUGGCUCAAUGUAACCCAUCUUAAAGCACCCAGGUCAAAAACCUCACCUUUUAUAUUAAAGUUAAAGGGACAUAACCAAAUGCCCUCCCUAUGCUGAAAGACUCUCCUUGAAUAUGUUUUAUGUACAGAUUUUGAAUUAUUUUUCAAUGUUCUCAUCCUAAGCACAAAUAGAUCCAUGUUCUGUGCAAUAUUAAGAAAUAAAACAAGGUUAAAGGCAGAGCCAAAAUAUUACUACUGAUAGGGGCCAAGCUGGGAAACAUGACUUCAGGUCUCAGGCAAAGAGUUACUAAACCCCAGAGGUAGAAUGUAUCCCUUAAGAAAGAAAAUAUAUAUAUUCUUGGGAGAGAGAUAGAAAGAUUAAUUAUAGGAAUUGGCUUGAGACUUUGAAGACUGAGAAACUCCACAAUCUGCCAUCUGCAGGCUGGUGAUACAAUUCCAUCCCAAUCCAAAAACUUGAGAACCAGGAGAGACAAUGCUGUAAGUCUCAGUCUGAGUCUAAAGGCCUGAGAAACAGGAGUGCUGAUGAUUGAAGGUGGGAGAUGAAUGACCCAUGUGAAGUAAAGAGCAAAUUUGUCCUUCUCCUGCUUGUUGUUCUAUCCAGGGCUCAGUGGAUUGAUGCCUCAUCUGUACUUGUGUUGGUGAGGAUGAUCUUUUUUACAUAUUCUAUUAGUUCAAAUGUUCAUCACUUACAGGAAACACCCCCACAGAUAUACCUAGACAUGUUUUACCAGCUCUCUGGGCAUUCUUUCAUUCAAUCAAGUUAACACAUAAAAUUAAAUCAUUAUACAAGGAAACCCACAAAUAUAAAAUCUUGAGCAAAAAAGGAGCAUUUUUCUGAGGAAAAAGCAUUUUUCUGAGGAAGACAUACAGAUGGCCAUUAGGCACAUGAAGGAAAAAAAAAGGUCGUGUAAGAUGUUCACGCCAAAAAUAAUAAAAAUAAGCUUAAGAUAAAUUAAAGAAAUCCCAUAUAAAAGGAUGUGUGCUGGACACUUGUCACUUCACAGCUCAAUUGAUACAUUAAAUGAAAUCCCAAUACAGAUCAUAACAGUUUUUUAAUAGAAAUUGACAUCCUAAAAUGUAAAAUGUGUAUGGAAAUGCAAAAGGCCAAGAUUGACAAGACAAUCUUGAAAAAAAAAAACUGAAAGCAUUAUAUUAUCAGAUUUUAAGUUAGAUUAUUAAGCUAUAUUAAAGCAGUGUGGUGCUCAUGUAAGAGUAAAAAAGUAAGCCUAUAGAAUAAAAUAGAAUCCAGAAACUGACCCACAUAUAUAUGAGCCAUGGAUUUGUAAUAUACCUGGCUGUAGUACUGUGAAGAAAAAUUGGUCUUUUUAAUACAGUCAUCCCUUGGUAUGCAAGGGGAAUUUGUUCUUAGACUCAGGGGUACCAAAAUCCAUGGAUGCUCAAGUCCCACAUUUGGGUCUCUGUAUCCAUGGUCCUGAAUCCAUGGAUCCAAUCAACCACAGAUUAUGUACUGCUUCCUACACGCAUUUCAAAAAUAAAAAAAAAUUUUUAAAAAUCCACAUAUUGGUGCAAUUAAAAACCCGUUUUGUUCAAGGGUCAACUUUAAAUUGUACUAGUUCCACUGGGUAUCUCUAUGGGGGAUUUUAACAAUACAAAUAGACAGUAGAUUUAUAUGUGAAAGGAAACCAAAUAAUAUUUCAUAAAAAAUAGAUUUUAAUGAUGUGAUAGUAAGCAAACAACUCAUAUAAGAUAUAAAGUCUCAUUAUAAAGGAAGAAUUAUGAAUUGGACUAAGAAUAUCAAAAGAUACCACUAAGAGACAAAAACUCAAGUCACAAAACUAAGGAAAAUAUUUGAAAUAAUAUAAUACAAAAUGGACUUACAAACAAUAUAUAUGCCCUUAUAUGCACAUACAUACCUAUGUAUAAAUACACACACUCACAUACCAAGAUUCUGUACAAAGACAUAUAACUUUAAAUCAAUAAAAAAUAUAGCACGGAGAAAAAUAAGCAAGAGAUUUGAAAAGGAAUUCACAAAAAAAGGAUGUUAAAAUGAUAAUUUACCAUGAAAAGUCACUCAUUUUUAUCAGUCAAUAGGGAAAAGAAAUUAUAACCACAGCAUCAUACACAUCUACGAACAUGACUAGAAAGAAAUUACAUAAAAUACUAAGUCAUGUGGAGAAUAUGGGACUAAAACUCUCAUGCACCUGCUAGUGUAGUUAAUAACCAGCCCAACUAAUUUGGAAACCGCUUCAGCAGCAUGUCUUAAACCUGCGUGUAUCAUAUUAUCUAGCAAUUUAAUUCUUAGGUUGAGCUUAAGGAAGAUACACCAAAAAUAUGAAUAUCAAAACCAUGAACAAAAACAUUCAUAGCAGAAGUAUUUAUAAAAACCAAACUGGACACCCUUCAAAUGCCCAUCAAGAGAAAAUAAAUGUUGGUAUAUUCCCAAGAUGGAAUAUUAUAUAGAGUUGAAAAUGGGGGCGGUGAAAGAACUACAAGUGCAUUCAACAUGAGUAAACCUCCUAAUCAUAAUAUUGAAUGAAAAAAGUCAGAAGACUAAAAGAGUCCAUCUGUAUCAUUCCAUUACUAUAAAUUUCAGAAAAAGGCAAAUCAAAUCUCUGGUUUUAGAAAUCAGGAUAGUGGUUUUCAUUGUGGGAAAUAUUGACUGGAAAGUGAUACAAGUGAGGGGAAGACUCACAUGUUAAUGUCAUUCUGUUUGUUGAGAUACGGAGCUGGUUACUCAGAUAUGUUUACUUGGGAAGAUUUAUCUGGAUACUAAUGAUUUUUUCACUUCAGUAUGUCUGUUAUAUUUCCAACAAAGUAAACCUGCGCUGCUGAUAGAAAAUUCAGACAUUGGGAUAGAACUUUUACACCACUCAAAUAUAUGCCUUGACCUGUAGGCUGCUAUGAAAAGAUUUUAUUUUGUAUCUAUUUACUGUAUAUCAUUGUCUCUUUCUGGUUUACUUCUCUUGUGUUUUGAUUUCUUUGCAGAGGUCCCCUGUGCUUCAAGCCUGACUCCAAAAUAUUUCAACAGGAACAAUUCAGGAAAAGCUAUUGGAGCAUACGGUUUCCACAUAUACUAAUCUAUUUAGAAGUUAGGUCCUAUACAAAAAAAGUAAUAAUUACCCAGGGAACAAGCAAAAAUGUUCUUGGUGAAACUGAGUUGACACCAAUGGUUUAAGCAAAUGAAUAGUCCACACACUGAGCAAACCGUACUUGGAAAAGUUACCCGUUUCUUUUAUUUUGAAACACAGCGCACUUUUGGCUAAAAGCCCAGUGUUGAGUUGUAUAAUUCAGUGAACUUUCUUCUUCCUUUCAAAUUACUUUGAACCACUGAGUUGGUUUUAUUUGUUUAAUUGUUUGAAUUUUCAAAUAUGAAUCCAAUUGGUACAAAAGUAAUGUCUCCUAUCUGUCUAUCAUCUAUCUAUAAUCAUCUAACUAUCUAUGUUUCUAUCUGCCUAAUUUAUCCACCUGGCAGUUACUUGGAAAACAAGAAUAGUUAGUCUUCAUCACUUAGAAAUCGCAAUAGAUAGUACAGACAUUAAAUCACCUUUGGCGCUUAUAAAAAAUUAAUAAUCUGGGGACUUAUCCAAGCUAUCUUAUCAAAAUCUCCAGGGGCAACCAUGAGAACCUUACUUUCUUUACAUAUGCUUUCAAUAAGCUCAGGAAUUUUGGUACUCUUGUUAUUAGGACUAGAAGGAAGGAGACACACAGGAAAGAAAUUGCAAGGAAAUAUUUUGCUCUUUCUGCUCCUUCUUCUCUCAUAUUCAAAGUUGCACAGGAAGUUUCUCCAUAAGAUUUAUGGCAGUUUGUUCUCUUCCUCCCUGAAUAGGAAAGAACAGGACAGAGCACGGUCAGACCCCAUCUUAUGAAGAGGCUGCAUUACAAAAACUAUUAGUCAUUUACUUGGACUCCAUGCAUUUUACCCAAGACAUUCCUUUCUAAUUAUAUCACUUGAAACGUAUAUUAACUUAGAUAAGCUUGAACUAAGCUAUUGCUAUCCUUAUUUAAGCAGUAAACAAGUACAAAUUAUGACAUGGCUUAUGGAAGAAAAGCAUUCACAAAUCUAAACUUCACGGGUUUGUAGGCAGUACCUGUGCUUCAGUGGGGCUCUGAGACAGGGUGGGACUUGGAACCUUUACGUUGUCAGCUUGGACACUAUUAUCUAAUUAUGCUCACGAGAAUGUUUUGAGAGAAAAUCAAAUAGGUAAUAUCUGAAGGCGAUUACUUACAUGUAAUUCUAUAUAAUGUCAUAUAAUGAUUAAGAGCAUCAUUUGGAGUUAAGCAGACAUACCUUUGAAUUUUAGUUCAAAGUUUCAGUUCCUCACCUGAAAAAUGGAUGUCCUGCUAUUUCUAUAAGAUUGUCUGACAUUGGAUAAAUGAUCAGUAAAAAUGGUACUAAAAUAUAAAAUGUAAUAAAACUAUAAUCUUUGUCACAUG